AUAUAUAUAAAUAUAAACAUUAACAAUUACAAUUAUUUUUUCUUUUUUUUCUGAAUUUGGGGUGAAAUAUGACUUACAGGUUUAGUGAGACUCUCCUUUGUAUAAAAUAGAUAAAUUAAAAAAAAAAAAAAAAUCCUGUUGACAAAUUUGUACCCUCAUUAAACCUGCCAUUUCAUGCCUACGGUUAUUUAAUCGGCACUUCAUUACAGAACAUUGAUCAUCGUGGGACAUUCAAAAUCACACAUUUCUUAAAGUUCAGGUCGACCUCUGAAAACGUUAUUUUAAAUACUUGCCAGUCCAGUUUAAAAUGCUUUUAUCCAGUGAUUAGAUUAUGUAUUUUGGCCAUCUGAGAGAACCAGGCUCAGCCUCCUGGUAAGUUUUGAAGGGAUGUCCACACUUGUCUUCAGUUUGUCUGGUACGCAGCCCUUAACCUUUCUUGACCCUCACCCCUGACCUUUGGUUUACUGUAAAUACUGUAAAAUGCAUUUUGAUAUCAUUGACAUGUUUUGAUAUGUCAGUCACAACCAAUGAGUACAGCUGAAAGUAAGUUAUAAAGAAUCUGUUUGUGUUUUUGUAUUUUAAAGAGAUACUUUUGCUGUAAAAAAAAAAAAAAGAAAACGGCAGAUUGAUGGUCACCCCCAUUGUAAAUCAAAUCCUCAAUAGGUUUAUGCAUUUAUUUCUUCAGAAAUAUUUCCUCAAACACCUAGUUGGUGUAAAGAAAAAUGGUUUGUUUUGCUCGAGAGAAUAUUGUGAUUUUUGAACAGAAAGUUAACUGUGAGUCUAUAUGAAUGUGAAAACACAAAAUCAGAGCAAUCAACCAUCAAAUCUGUAGACAUAUUUGACAUUUCAGCCACUUUACAUCGAAUGAAAGGUCCUGAAGGCUGGAAUUGUUUAGUUGCUCGCUGACCUGCUUCAGUUUUCCAGCUGUUGGCCAUCUCUGCACUUCUGUUGUGAUGUAUAAUAUUGUAACAUUAGAAAAGUUUGAGAGGAAAAUGUGUAUUUUGGAGCAAGAAGGGGUCACGGGAGGGAAUGACGGAAAUUUCUCCUGUAAUUUUCACUGUCCUUUCUUGCGACAUGACAGUAUUUAAUAUGAAGCAGUCUGUCCCUAUGGGUUUGCUUUGUAUUUCAUAGUAGGGUAGCUCAGAUCUUUGUCCUAGGGCCUUAUAGGUGUCUCGUGUAGCUAAAUUUGUCCUUUGUAUGUUUCUUUACAUUGUAAAGUUUCUUUAAACUGAAAAAAAAAGACAAAAAGAAAAUUUGCUUAUCAAAAAGAAAUGAUUGCAUCAAUAAUAAAUGUAAUUUG
ensembl:lncRNA